GUUCGGACUCAAGUUCGACCCUUCACAGACACCUUCCUGUCUUCGCGUUUCGCACCUAUGCUCGUCUUCAUGCCCCAGUGAAUCAUCCCAACCCUAAAUUGCACUGGCAUCGCGUGCGCCGGACGACCCAUAGACGGCGACGGCGAGGGAUGGUGGAGGGGCACAGGUUUUGGAGCCACCUUCCGCUGCUGGUGCAAUCCAGCUCCAAGGAGUCGGUGGAAUACAUACUGCAGGCUCUCUGGCGGACCCGGAAAACCGGCCUCGACGCCGCCGACCGCUCCAUCAUCCGAGAAAUGCUCAACCUCUCCUCCGAAUCCGACCUCGAUCCUCUUUUGGUAUGCCUCCGCAUGUUGAUUCGGAAGAGUGUUUAUGAGAAUAUUUCAAAGGAUGAGAUUCAGAAAUUGUUUCCACUAGAAGUUCUCCCAGAAUUGCAAAGGCUGCUGACGCUGCUUCUACAGAAGUUUCAACGAGAAUGGCGAGAAGACGUACUCAAAGAUCAGGCUUCUGUGCCUCGUUUAAAGGCAAUGACAUGGAAUAAAGUAAAUCAAAGUCAAGAUUCAGCAGAUAACGUGGCUGUUAUUAAUCUGAAGCUACAAGAUGACCAAUCUAUUUCAGGCGAAAGAGAGGUAAAGUUCCAAUUAGCUAAGGACACUUUGGAAACGAUGUUGAAGUCCAUGUACUUCAUAAGAGAUCAAAUGUCUAACAGCGAUACUACCCAUAAUGGACAUGGGCAAAGGGAAGAUAAGGAAGCGGACAGCGCAUAAGAAUGUUUUCUCGGAAUAAACCAUUACUAGGCAAAGCAAGUGUGUGCUUCGCAGCUGGAUGCUGUGCAAACUUGUAUUCACAUUCACAGGGUCUUCCUCGGCUGCAGUAAGGUAUGUGAGGGACUCAAGAAGAUUCGACUGCCUGCAUUCUCUGCGGUACUCAAGAGUCAUGCUGGUGAGAUGAUAGUUUUCCAGUACAUUUACGGGAACGCUCUGCAAUAGGUAGGAAGCAGUUGUAUUCAAAUUAGUCAGUCAUCAAUUGUUUUCUAAAUCUCUCUUUCAUUAAUUGGAGAAGUAGUUAAAUUUUCUUGAUGUAGCUUGAAGCUGUAGUUAAAAAAAUUUUCCAUGUAGUUUAAUGAGACCUAACAUUAUGUUAAGUGGUUCCCUUUUGCAUGAAAAUUGAUAAGAACUAGAUUCUGUUUAAAAAAAAAUGCCAAUUUACUAAUGAAUACUUUCGAAGGCUGAUUCAAUUUGUUUAUGUCUUGAUACAUGGGUGGAUCAAGAAUAUAGUUUAUAACUACUGGAAAAUUGAAUUUUAAACAAUACAUAGAAUGCUGAAGUUGAUUACCUCCAUUAUCCAUCCAAUGUAUUUUACAUUGUUUACAUGUUGAUUGACGUCCAUGUCACUCCACCUUGGCUAAAUGACAUGAUUAAAACAUGUUUAGUAAUUUAUGGAUUUAUAGCUUCUGAAUUCAUAUUGAAAUCCAGUUUUGAAUUGACUGAUUAUAGUUAGCACUGAACAAGAAAUUUACACUUACUGCUAAACCAGAUUUGAUGUUCACUGCAGUUUCUUCAGUCAAUUUCUCGAUUUUUUCAUUGUCACAGCUGCCAUCAAAAAAUACUCUCCUGUCCAGAUAGAAGGGUUUUACCUCUUCCCUUACCUGUUCAGAGCAGGGAUGAAGGGUGCCAAGGUGGCGGACAGAUACAGAGGUAGAAGGCAAGUACCUGCAGGAGAUUCAUGAGGGUCUCCAUGGUUGCUGUUUCAUCAGGUCCAAUCUCAUGAGAUCUGAUCACAAAGGUCUGCCUGUAAACGUAUCUCUCCUCCACAAACCUCCCAAGCCUGUAAGUGUGCAUUACUCCACCAUCAUCAUCCUGGAGCACUGCAGUUCCAUUCCCCAUGGUCAAAGAAGCCUCAAUACCAUGCACCACUUCAUUCAUCUUGCUUCCAUGGACUCUAUCCGCACUCACUUUGCAAUUGUCGCCACCAGUCUUCACACAAAACUGCCGUAGCUUUCCCUUCCUGGCACAGCAAAUGGAACUUGCCACAGUUGGAAGAUGUAAUCUGGUGCUGCAGCUGGAAGCCAUGGACUUUGCAACCGCCUUACUGCCAAAUUCCAUGGCUGAGAUAGCCAUGAAAAGAGAUUUAUUGGAAAUUCUUCAAAAGGGUUGGUUGAUUUCAGAAAGCUGGAUGGCAAUUGAUCAAGUGUUUCUGAGACCUUAUGAAUGGAAAGAACACCAAAUGCGGUGUGAGAGGCUUGCAAGAAAAAAAUGCAGCUUGUGUGAUGAAGUGCAGCUCAACCACUUAUAUGGAUGGAGGAGAAGAAGAUGAGUGUUUGCUUGCCUGGAAACAAUGUUUUUGAAAACCUCGCUGUCGUGUUCAACCAGAUAAACUCGAACUGAGGCAGAUUCACCCGUUCCCAGGUGAAGUUUUAUGCAACUGGAUUUUUUUUUGUUGGCUUGGGGAUCAACUGGGAUGAGAUGAUAUUCAAAUUUUGGAUCAGGGAGGUUGAAAACAAGGUGUGCGCUAGAUUGUAAGCAGCUCACCAACCCUCUCCUGCCGUGUGCUCCGGAAAAUUUUCCAGACUAGUUGUACCAAACACUUGGCCUGAAUAAUUCAAAACUUGGACGCAAGCUUUGGAUUCUCAAGGGUUUGCUUGUUGGUGCUGCUGCACUUGCUUCAAUGAGUCCUUCAGCAUUCCUUCAGCAUUCAUGAGAAAUAACUUGUGCAAAGAUUGAUGGAGAGUGUUUCCCGAGGUUGUUUGAGGUGGGGCUUAAUGCAAAGGACUGUAUGGUUCACGGUUCGAUGCGGUUUUGAAGAACUUUCUUGAGUUUUUCGAUCAAAAUUUACUAUUUUAUGAAUAUUA